GCGCCCGUAGCUCAACUGGAUAGAGCGUCUGACUUCGGAUCAGAAGGUUGAGGGUUCAAAUCCUUCCGGGCGUA
rnacentral:tRNA from 2 species